GGCCGAUUAGCUCAGUGGGUAAAGCGUGGUGCUGAUAACACCGAGAUUGCAGGUUCGAUUCCCGUUUGGUCCC
rnacentral:tRNA from 1 species